UUCCAUGUUCCUACCCCCAGUGUAUCUGUUGUGGAUCUGACGUGCUGCCUGGAGAAAUCUGCCAAGUAUGAUGACAUCAAGAAGGUGGUGAAGCAGGCAUCCGAGGUACCACUGAAGGGCAUCCUGGACUACACUGAGGACCAGGUUGUCUCCUGUGACUUCAACAGCAACUCCCACUCUUCCACCUUUGAUGCUGGAGCUGGCAUUGCUCUCAAUGACAACUUUGUAAAGCUCACUUCCUGGUAUGACAAUGAAUAUGACUAUAGCAACAGGGUGGGGGACCUCAUGGCCUACAGGGCCUCCAAGGAGUAAGAAACCCUGGACCACCCACCCCAGCCGAGCAAGAAUACUGAGAACAAGAGAGAGGCCCUCAGUUGCUGAGGAGUCCCCAUCCCAAUUCAGCCCCCAACACUGAGCAUCUCCCUCACAAUUCCAUCCCAGACCCCCAUAAUAACAGGAGGGGCCUGGGGAGCCCUCCCUUCUCUCUUGAAUACCAUCAAUAAAGUUCGCUGCACCCUCAA
rnacentral:lncRNA from 1 species